rnacentral:rRNA from 1 species
UACGUAGGGGGCAAGCGUUGUCCGGAAUCAUUGGGCGUAAAGCGCGCGUAGGCGGCCCUGUAAGUCCGUUGUGAAAGUCAAAGGCUCAACCUUUGAAAGCCGAUGGAUACUGCAGGGCUAGAGUCCGGAAGAGGCGAGUGGAAUUCCUGGUGUAGCGGUGAAAUGCGCAGAUAUCAGGAGGAACACCGGUGGCGAAGGCGGGUCUCUGGGCCGUAACUGACGCUGAGGAGCGAAAGCAUGGGGAGCGAACAGG